GCUCCCAUCGUCUAGAGGCCUAGGACACUGGCCUUUCACGCCGGUAACAGGGGUUCGAAUCCCCUUGGGAGCG
rnacentral:tRNA from 2 species